GCUCUCCCGGCUGUGAUUGACCUUCAGUUACAGAGAGAGGGAGCAGAGUGGGACCAGGUCUGAGAAUAGUGAAGCAACUCAUUCCUUUCAGGACAUUCCCUCUGAUGUCCUAUUUUCAAACUGGUCUCUGGAGGAGCCUAAGGUGAUCUCGCCUUCUCUGGAAAGCAGGCCAGGAAGCACAUGGUGCACAUCGCUUGCGGGAGCACUUACAGCGCGGCCAUCACUGCCGAGGGGGAGCUGUACACCUGGGGCCACGGGAACUGCGGCCGGCUGGGCCACGGCUCCAGUGAAGAUGAGGCCACUCCGAUGCUGGUAGCUGGGCUUAAAUAAGGACUGAAGGUCACCGAUGUGGCGUGUGGGAGUGGGGACGCUCAAACCCUGGCUGUCACUGAGAAUGACAGUGGUGACCCUGGCCAGGAGCGCGGACGUGCUGAGCAUCGUGCAGUCGGCUGCCCAGGCCGUGCUGCAGAGCGGCUGUCCGUGCUGCUGCCCACCACGGAGGAGCAGGCCCGGGCACUCUCUGCUCUCCUGCCCUGCGCAGGUGGGCUCGGGGAAGGAACAGGAGAGGGCAUUGGUCAGGGUGCUGGGAGGGGAUGGCGUUUCACUCCAAUUGCCACACACUUUCUAUUUCAGUUUCAGGCAAUGA
rnacentral:lncRNA from 1 species